rnacentral:rRNA from 1 species
CCCUUAGAUGUUCUGGGCUGCACGCGCGCUACACUGACACACGCAACGAGUCUCCUGCCCUGACAGGGUCGGGUAAUCAUUUGAGUGUGUGUCGUGAUGGGGAUAGAGUAUUGCAAUUAUUGCUCUUGAACGAGGAAUUCCUAGUAAGCACAAGUCAGCAGCUUGUGCUGAUUACGUCCCUGCCCUUUGUACCCACCGCCCGUCGCUCCUACCGAGGGGGUGAUCCGGUGAAUGAUUCGGACUCUGGUGCUUCUAGCUGCUAGAUGCGCCGGAGGAAGUUUUGUGAACCUUAUCACUUGGAGGAAGGAGAAGUCGUAACA